GAUGAACGCUGGCGGCGUGCCUAAUACAUGCAAGUCGAGCGAACAGACGAGGAGCUUGCUCCUCUGACGUUAGCGGCGGACGGGUGAGUAACACGUGGAUAACCUACCUAUAAGACUGGGAUAACUUCGGGAAACCGGAGCUAAUACCGGAUAAUAUAUUGAACCGCAUGGUUCAAUAGUGAAAGACGGUUUUGCUGUCACUUAUAGAUGGAUCCGCGCCGCAUUAGCUAGUUGGUAAGGUAACGGCUUACCAAGGCGACGAUGCGUAGCCGACCUGAGAGGGAGAUGGGCCACACGGGAUCUGAGACAGGGUCCAGACUCCGACGGGGGGCAGCAGUAGGGAAUCUUCCGCAAUGGGGGAAAGCCGGACGGAGCAACGCCGCGGGAGUGAUGAAGGUCUUCGGAUCGGAAAACUCUGUUAUUAGGGAAGAACAAAUGUGUAAGUAACUAGGCACGUCUUGACGGUACCUAAUCAAAAAGCCACGGCUAACUACGUG
rnacentral:rRNA from 1 species